rnacentral:tRNA from 1 species
GCCCAGGUGGCGGAAUUGGUAGACGCGCUAGCUUGAGGGGCUAGUGGGAGUAUUCCCGUGGAAGUUCGAGUCUUCUCCUGGGCACCA